GUUUUAUCAAGUCUCCCAAGAGUGAUACUUAGGUAGUACUUUUGUGGAUGCAUAAGAGAGAAGUUAAUUAAUUAUAUCCAAAGGAUGCCUUUGGGCAUUAGGGCUUAAUUUACUUGUAGGACUCCAGUGGAGAAGGACACUAAGACUUGCUUUGAAUAUACCAAACAAAGGAUGGCAAAGGAUGGAUGACUGACACUCUUUCAGUGCCUACGUUGCAGAAGAAAGAGAAAUUGAGCAUGUGAGCAGGGAAGAUGGGAAGAGGGAUAGAGAGAGAGAAUCCCAAGCAGGCUCCAUCUCUAACAUGGAGCCCUUUGCAGGGCUUGGUUUCACCACUCUGGGAUCAUGACCUGAGCUGGAAUCAAGAGUCAGACACUUCAACCGACUGAGCCACUGAGAUACAGAGCAUGAACAGAGGAGGGACAGAGAGAGGGAGAC